CAGCAGCCGCGGGAAUACGUAGGGUGCAAGCGUUAAUCGGAAUUACUGGGCGUAAAGCGUGCGCAGGCGGUUAUAUAAGACAGAUUUGAAAUCCCCGGGCUCAACCUGGGAACUGCAUUUGUGACUGUAUAGCUAGAGUACGGCAGAGGGGGAUGGAAUUCCGCGUGUAGCAGUGAAAUGCGUAGAUAUGCGGAGGAACACCGAUGGCGAAGGCAAUCCCCUGGGCCUGUACUGACGCUCAUGCACGAAAGCGUGGGGAGCAAACAGGAUUAGAUACCCCAGUAGUCCCUGUCUCUUAUAC
rnacentral:rRNA from 1 species